rnacentral:rRNA from 1 species
UGGGGAAUAUUGCACAAUGGGCGCAAGCCUGAUGCAGCCAUGCCGCGUGUGUGAAGAAGGCCUUCGGGUUGUAAAGCACUUUCAGCGAGGAGGAAGGUGGUGAACUUAAUACGUUCAUCAAUUGACGUUACUCGCAGAAGAAGCACCGGCUAACUCCGUGCCAGCAGCCGCGGUAAUACGGAGGGUGCAAGCGUUAAUCGGAAUUACUGGGCGUAAAGCGCACGCAGGCGGUUUGUUAAGUCAGAUGUGAAAUCCCCGGGCUCAACCUGGGAACUGCAUUGAAACUGGCAAGCUAGAGUCUCGUAGAGGGGGUAGAAUUCCAGGUGGUAGCGGUGAAAUGCGUAGAGAUCUGGAGGAAUACCGGUGGCGAAGGCGGCCCCCUGGACGAAGACUGACCGCUCAGGUGCGAAAGCGUGGGGAGCAAACAGGAUUAGAUAACCCUGGUAGUCCACGCUGUAAACGAUGUCGAUUUUGGAGGUUGUGCCCUUGAGGCGUGGCUUCCGGAGCUAACGCGUUAAAUCGACCGCCUGGGGAGUACGGCCGCAAGGUU